GUCUGUAUUGACAAGAAAAUGAAGCAAACUCGUGUUGGCAGCAGGCUGCCUCUGGAUGGAGCUACUGGAGUCCUUCCUUGAGAGUGAAGCUGUUGCAGCUGUGAAGUGGAAGGCUGAGAGCAGGAAAUAGCCAGUAGGUUCAGGUCCAGAUGGGAGAACGUGUGGACAGGCCUGUCGUGGAGCCUGUGCCCAAAUGGAGAGCAGCAAAGAGAAUGACUCCCCACGGCCAUCUUUGCUGUCUGCCGUUCUAAAUACUUAUCCUGAUACCCACAGUGUCCUCUGAUGAAUGCACAGCAGUGAAAUCAUCUGAUAACAAACUUCUCAGAACCUCACCUCCUACAUAACUGAAGCACAACUCUGGUUUAAAAGCAAAACGAAGCUAGUUUGUCCAGAUCAAUAGUACAGGAUAUAGCAUUUCCUUUCUGCUAACUGCUGUUGGUGAACAGAAGCAAUACCUAAGAACAUGCUGCAAGAAGGGAGCUGUGUAAGAAUUCUGAGUGCUUGUGAGAAAACUCCAAGAAAACAAGACAAAGAGUCUUUUGACCUUCAGUUUCUUCAAAAAACAGAACUGCUCUUGACAUGUGUUUCUGUGCCCCUCCCUGGUGUAGUGGAUAGCUGUGAGUUUAUUUCAGAUUAUUCAUCAUAACUGGCUAUUGUUAUUUGUUUGUGCCUCUAUAGAAAAAUGUCUUUUUGCCAAGUGUGGCUUGUACUCGUGACUGUACACUCUACUGAAGCAACUCUUCUUAUCUCCCACAGUAUACAUGAUCCGAGGCUCUGAAGACAGGUGGCUGAUGCAUGAGACGUUAGUCUAUCUCAUGGAUUGGCCCCAUCCUCUCAGGUCCCAGUGCCUCUACAGAAGCAAACAGGGUUGGACUGGAAAGAUUCAGUGACAAAGUGUAGAAAUCACAUGUAUGUAGAAAUGUGACAUAGAUUUCAUACUUUGAUCUUAACGGGAAAUGAAAAUAUGCUAAACCCUCAAAUCUUCAUUAUCCUGAGAGACAAUUCAAAGGAGCAAAUUACAACCAACCAACAAAUGUGGGGCAGACAACAGAAGGCAUGGACAGAGAAGCUUUACUGUGUUUGUUUGAAAAAGGAAAAAAAUUGAUAACCAGGGAAGAGAAUAAAAGGGGUAAAAUAUGGCAGUACACAGCCCAAUACACUGAGCAGUAUUUACAAACUUUAAUAAGGAAGGAUGCUGUGAUGGUCAGUGCCCACGGGACAGGAUCUGGAGUCAUGUAGGAGACAGGCCUCCAAGUAUACCUUAGGGCAUUUUCUUUAAUGGGUUAUCUGUUUUUAAGAGAACAGUACCUUUAAAGGUAGGUGGCACCAUUUUCUGGGCUUGGGCCUGGACUUCAGAAAAAGUAUGAGCUGAGUGAGAGCAUGCAUUGUUCACGUCUCUCCCUGACUGCAGCUCAAGUAGGCUCAGCGGCUUCAAGGCCUGCUGCCUUAAAUUCCAUCAUGGGUCUAAACCUUCAACUGUGAGAGAACAUGUACACUCCCUUCCUUAAGGUGGUUUUUACAGCAAAAGGAAAGCAACAGGAACGCAACCAGGACAGAUGCACAGGAAUAUACAGAACAGAGACUCAAUAUAAAGUCAGAAAAGAAAGGAUGAGGAUCACAACAGAAAGGAAUGAGAAUGCAGCAGCUCAGAGAAAAGAGAAAGCCACGAAGUCUGCAAACUUGGGGACAGGAUUGGUUCACAGUAACAACAAUUCUAGGACUGGAGAGGCUGAGGCAUGAGGGUCAUAAGUUCCAGCCGGGUUAUAUAGUUGUGUCUUAAUAAAACCUCAAUUUUCUAAAUUAGAUGAUUAGUCAUCUAAGCAAAGCAUUUGCCUGUCAAAUGCUUGCUUCCAAUUCUAAUUCAUUUGUUCUAAAAAACUAAGUUGCAAGUUCACUUAAAUUAGAUUUCCCAAGCGUUUUGGGUUUGCUGUAGAGGUACAGAAGGAAGGGGUCUUUAUGACAUUGAGAUGGGAUAAAAACAUUCAUUAAGGCUAAUGUGGUAAGCAGACUAAGAACCAUUACC